GGUAGUCUCCUCCAAAUGUAAUGGUUUAGGUAGUCUCCUCCUAAUGUAAUGGUUUAGGUAGUCUCCUCCUCCAAAUGUAAUAGUUUAGGCAGUCUCCUCCAAAUGUAAUGGUUUAGGUAGUUUAGGUAGUCUCCUCCAAAUGUAAUGGUUUAGGUAGUCUCCUCCUCCAAAUGUAAUGGUUUAGGUAGUCUCCUCCUCCAAAUGUAAUGGUUUAGGUAGUUUAGGUAGUCUCCUCCAAAUGUAAUGGUUUAGGUAGUCUCCUCCUCCAAAUGUAAUGGUUUAGGUAGUCUCCUCCAAAUGUAAUGGUUUAGGUAGUCUCCUCCAAAUGUAAUGGUUUAGGUAGUCUCCUCCAAAUGUAAUGGUUUAGGUAG
ensembl:lncRNA